ACUCUGGUAUUGAUUGGUGCUUGCAUCAUGAUUUACAUUUGAGUGAGUGGCGAACUGGUGAGUAACACGUGGGAAACCUGCCCAGAAGCGGGGGAUAACACCUGGAAACAGAUGCUAAUACCGCAUAACAACUUGGACCGCAUGGUCCGAGUUUGAAAGAUGGCUUCGGCUAUCACUUUUGGAUGGUCCCGCGGCGUAUUAGCUAGAUGGUGGGGUAACGGCUCACCAUGGCAAUGAUACGUAGCCGACCUGAGAGGGUAAUCGGCCACAUUGGGACUGAGACACGGCCCAAACUCCUACGGGAGGCAGCAGUAGGGAAUCUUCCACAAUGGACGAAAGUCUGAUGGAGCAACGCCGCGUGAGUGAAGAAGGGUUUCGGCUCGUAAAACUCUGUUGUUAAAGAAGAACAUAUCUGAGAGUAACUGUUCAGGUAUUGACGGUAUUUAACCAGAAAGCCACGGCUAACUACGUGCCAGCAGCCGCGGUAAUACGUAGGUGGCAAGCGUUGUCCGGAUUUAUUGGGCGUAAAGCGAGCGCAGGCGGUUUUUUAAGUCUGAUGUGAAAGCCUUCGGCUCAACCGAAGAAGUGCAUCGGAAACUGGGAAACUUGAGUGCAGAAGAGGACAGUGGAACUCCAUGUGUAGCGGUGAAAUGCGUAGAUAUAUGGAAGAACACCAGUGGCGAAGGCGGCUGUCUGGUCUGUAACUGACGCUGAGGCUCGAAAGUAUGGGUAGCAAACAGGAUUA
rnacentral:rRNA from 2 species